rnacentral:rRNA from 1 species
AGUGAACGCUGGCGGUAGACCUAACACAUGCAAGUCGAAUGGCAGCACAGUAAGAGCUUGCUCUUACGGGUGGCGAGUGGCGGACGGGUGAGGAAUACAUCGGAAUCUACUUUUUCGUGGGGGAUAACGUAGGGAAACUUACGCUAAUACCGCAUACGACCUACGGGUGAAAGCAGGGGAUCUUCGGACCUUGCGCGAUUGAAUGAGCCGAUGUCGGAUUAGCUAGUUGGCGGGGUAAAGGCCCACCAAGGCGACGAUCCGUAGCUGGUCUGAGAGGAUGAUCAGCCACACUGGAACUGAGACACGGUCCAGACUCCUACGGGAGGUAGCAGUGGGGAAUGUUGGACAAUGGGCGCAAGCCUGAUCCAGCCAUACCGCGUGGGUGAAGAAGGCCUUCGGGUUGUAAAGCCCUUUUGUUGGGAAAGAAAAGCAGCAGGUUAAUACCCCGCUGUUCUGACGGUACCCAAAGAAUAAGCACCGGCUAACUUCGUG